AGAGUCAACGCUGGCGGCGUGCCUAACACAUGCAAGUCGAACGCGAAAGCCCCGAAAGGGGCAAGUAGAGUGGCAAACGGGUGAGUAACACGUGGGUGACCUGCCUUCGAGCGGGGGAUAACGUCCCGAAAGGGACGCUAAUACCGCAUAACAUCCUGCCUUUGAAGAGGUGGAGAUCAAAGCUGGGGAUCGCAAGACCCGGCACUUGAAGAGGGGCCCGCGUCUGAUUAGCUAGUUGGUGGGUAACGGCCUACCAAGGCAACGAUCA
rnacentral:rRNA from 1 species